rnacentral:ncRNA from 1 species
CCGGCCCCUCCCCCCCCGGUGUCUUGUGUCCAUUGGUUAAUCUUAUAUGCAUGCAUAUAAGUCCAUCGGUUGAUCUCUUAAUCCCCCCCCACACCCUCCCCAGGCUUCCCACUGUAGUUUGACAGUCUGUUCAAUGUUGCUCUGCCUCUGCAUCUACCCUUGUUCAUCAGUCUAUACUGGUCCCCAUUAUCUGUCCCAACCUCACUGGAGCAGUCCCAACCUGACUGGGGCCGUUUCAACCUCACCGGGGUGUCCCGACCUCACCGGGGCCGUCAAACGAGAACUUUGAAGGCUGAAGUGGAGAAGGUUCUAUGUGAACAGCAGUUGAACAUGGGUCAGUCGGUCCUCAGAGAUGGGCGAGCGCUGUUCCGAAGGGACGGGCGAUGGCCUCCGUUGCCCUCAGCCGAUCGAAAGGGAGUCGGGUUCAGAUCCCCGAAUCCGGAGUGGCGGAGACGGGCGCCUCCAGAUGCAACUGAUCCCGGAGCAGCCUGUGGGAGCCCGGGGAGAGUUCUCUUUUCUUUGUGAAGGGCAGGGCGUCCUGGAAUGGGUUCGCCCUGAGAGAGGGGCCUGUGCCUUGGAAAGCGUUGCGGUUCCAGCGGCCUCCGGUGAGCUCUCGCUGGCCCUUGAAAAUCCGGGGGAGAGGGUGUAAAUCUCGUGCCGGCCGUACCCAUAUCCGCAGCAGGUCUCCAAGGUGAACAGCCUCUGGCAUGUUGGAACAAUGUAGGUAAGGGAAGUCGGCAAGCCGGAUCCGUAACUUCGGGAUAAGGAUUGGCUCUAAGGGCUGGGUCGGUCGGGCUGGGGCGCGAAGCGGGGCUGGGCGCGCGCCGCGGCUGGAC